rnacentral:rRNA from 1 species
GACGAACGCUGGCGGCGUGCUUAACACAUGCAAGUCGAACGAUGAAGCUGGAGCUUGCUCCGGUGGAUUAGUGGCGAACGGGUGAGUAACACGUGAGCAAUCUGCCCUUGACUCUGGGAUAACUGCGGGAAACUGUAGCUAAUACCGGAUAUGAGAUCUGAAGGCAUCUUCGGGUUUGGAAAGAAUUUCGGUCAAGGAUGAGCUCGCGGCCUAUCAGCUAGUUGGUGAGGUAAUGGCUCACCAAGGCGACGACGGGUAGCCGGCCUGAGAGGGUGACCGGCCACACUGGAACUGAGACACGGUCCAGACUCCUACGGGAGGCAGCAGUGGGGAAUAUUGCACAAUGGGCGAAAGCCUGAUGCAGCAACGCCGCGUGAGGGAUGAAGGCCUUCGGGUUGUAAGCCUCUUUUAGCAGGGAAGAAGCGAAAGUGACGGUACCUGCAGAAAAAGCACCGGCUAACUACGUGCCAGCAGCCGCCGCCG